CAGGAUGUAGGCAUGAACACUACCAGAGGUUUGCAUUAAAACUUCUGUAAACCACGGCGUGAAUGCAGGAGACGAUUUCGGUGUUUGAUGAUGCAGUCCGGGGUUUUGUGGUUGCUGUUCUCACUGACAGUUUGCGGUUCGAACAUUUCUCCGCCGGUGGUGAACAUCAGUCUGGACCAGACUCCGGAGCUGAGAUGGUCUCCACUUAAAGACCUCUUCAGUAAAGACUUCUUACAGAAAGCAGCAGCUCAGGUGAUCGAUUCGACAGUUCCAGCAUGGGUUCACCACGCUAUCAAACCUGUGGUGAGAGCUCUGGAGCGGUUUACCCCUCAGCCCUAUGCUGCUGAGAUCAGAGGCAUGGCAGCUAUCUAUGGCUCUGACAUCUCCGACAUCCUCCUGCUCAACUUCGCCUAUGAAGUUUCUGCGUUCUGUACCAGUAUUGUGGCUCAAGACACCAAGGGAAGAAUCUAUCAUGGUCGAAACUUGGACUACCCCCAUUCUGUGCUCAAGAAUCUUACGAUUGAUAUUCACUUCAUUAAAAAUGGAGAAGUGGCCUACAGGGGGACAUCUUUUGCUGGUUAUGUUGGGUUAUGGACUGGGCAAAGUAAAAACAAGUUCACUGUGACUGGGAAUCAGAGAGAUAAGGGCCACUGGUGGGACAAUAUAAUUUCUGCUGUCCUGUUUAAGAAUUCUCCUGUUAGCUGGCUAGUGAGAGAGACUCUUGAGGGGGCCUCAGACUUCCUGGAUGCAGCCAUACAGUUGUCUGCUGUACCCAUCAUCAGUGACGUGUACUACAUUGUGGGCGGUGUUUAUCCAGGAGAGGGUGUGGUCAUCACCAGAGACAGGAGCGGCCCUGCAGAUAUUUGGCCUUUGGAUACACUCAAUGGAAAGUUUUCUCAGUGGUUCCAGUGUGCAACAGGUGUGUGCUAUUUGACUGUAUUUGUGGAUUGUAAUUCAAUGCCAGAUUGUCGUUCACACAGCCUUUUAUUGUCUGGCAAGAGCAGGGGUGCGUAUCUGUAAUUUCACUUCCCCUAUUGAAGUUGAACAGAGUAACCACAUUUCCCUUUUUCUAGACGUAUGGAAUUACCUAGUGAAUGCAGUAAUAAGGAACUAAACAUUACUGAUUUCUGCCAGACAUAACCACUGAAACAGAUCAUUGCCUUCCUUCACUCUCAUAUUCUCCAUACAAACUUAUUUUGAGCUACUUUUGGGGUAAAUUUUUAAUUCAAAUUUUCAAACUUAUGCUAAACGAUCACAUCUACCUAUUAGUAGAUCUUAUUUAAAUACACUCAAAUGAAUUUUGGUAAUUGAUCUAUGCAGCUAAUAUAAUGAUUUAUUCAUUUGGCUAAACAUAUAUUUAGUCAUACGUUUUGCAGUUGGUAGUAUUUUGCAUUUUUGCAACUACCAAUUUUGCAUUGGUAAUCCUUGUAUUUCACAAAAACUGUAGUAAAUCAAACUGUUCUCAAAUUUCAAUGUUUACCUGGUGGCCAGGAGAACGGUCUACACGACAGUGAUGAGUGCAGCUGCCCCAGAAGAGUACAGAACCGUGAUUAGAGAGACCUGUGGUGAGUCCUUUGUGACAAAGGUCAACGGUCUAAACUAAAACCCCACCACACUUUCAGUAGUUCCAGACUCACAUACAACCAUAACAUUGCAAAUGAGCCAAUUUUAAUUCUAAAUUUUACAAGGCUACAAUAAUGAACUGUAUAUUUAGCUCAAUGGUAAUGUAGUGACAUUAGUGAGAUCAGUGGAUCUCUGUGCACUAGUGGAUUUUAUCAUUGUUAUGGUUGUUUUUAUGAUUGUUGCUAAUGUUAAUGUACUUGUACAUUUUAUAUGGUAAUAUUAUAAGGUUUAUAACAUGGGCUUACUUUUAGAUACGUCUUAUAUCUAGAGACUGCAUGUGUGUAAUCAUGACAUUAACUUUCUGACCAACAAGAUCAAUAAA